UAGGGUGACCAACCAUACUGGUUUGCCUGAGACUGAGGGGUUUCCCAGGACAUGUAACUUUGAGUGCUAACACCAGGACAGUCAUGGGCAAACAGGGAUGGUGGUCACCUUAGACCUGU
rnacentral:pre_miRNA from 1 species